CCCAACGCAUGAAUUUUAAUGGAAACUCAAAAGGGCUUCAAUUCUCCAAUUUUACAAAAAAAGAGACACUUUUUGGGUUUUCUGUGUAGCUUUUCAUACUAUCGUAGGCCCAGUUUUACAGUAUAUAAAGUGCUUUUGGAAACCCUAGCAUCUCUUCGCCUCCACUGAUAAUUAAUUAUUUAGUGUUUGACACACAAAAAAGAAAAGCCAAAAGAUGCAGAGCAAAGAGGAUGAUAUCACUGAGCCUAACACGCUCAGAAAUCGCUUUAACAAGUGGUAAUCGAUUAUUCUUUUUAAAUUUCGGUCGUUUUUUUUUUUUUUUGGGUGAUCUUGAUUAUAAUUGUUAUGAUUAUGAUUAGUGUUUGUUAUGUUUAUGUAGUGGGUUAUUUAUUUAUUUUUGGUUAGUGUUUUAAUGUUAAUUAUCAUGAUUGUUGUUUCUUUGCUAAGUCGAAACUGUGGGGCACCUUUUAAUGCUGGGGAAACUUUUGCUGCUCAUUCUGAAGGGCAUAGUUCUGGUCCCUCACAGCGGGACGAUGAAGGAGGUUCUGGGAGUCGUGGUACGAGGUCAUCUUGGUGGAAUGAUUUAAUCAAUUGGCUCAGCCAAUUUCUUGCAAAUCCAAUAAACCUUUUCUUUGUAUUUUUGCUUGUGUUCGUGUUAUUGUUUUUUCUUUUUCUUUUUGUGUUUUUUUGUCUUUUUGUGUUUGUGUUUCAUGCCAAGUGAUGUAGGGGCUAGUUGAACUACAUAAUAGCCAGAACUAGUGUGUUUCUUGUAGAACUCAAUGAUAUUUUGUAACAGCCCUGCUCCCUGUUUUUCUUGAAUAUUUGGAUGUUAGGCUUUAGUCUCAACUCUAAGAUGUUAGGUUUUUAGAGUAAACUCUAUGAUGCCUUUUCGUUUAGUCUCUUGUAUAUCCAUGCUUCAGUCUUGAUUUUACCUGGAGUGGAUGAUACUCUUGUUCUUCUAGCAGUAUUAUUGAACUGCAAUUAUUGUUGCAGGUUUAGUAAUGGUUCUGUAGACUAUUAUGGUACCCACAUGGCACAAUACAUUUUUAGCUUUAUGGAUUGCA